rnacentral:tRNA from 1 species
AGGUAGAAUGGCCGAGUAUAAGGCGGCAGGCUGUAGUCCUGUUUACAUAGGUUCAAGUCCUAUUUCUUCC